GGCUGGUCCGAAGGUAGUGAGUUAUCUCAAUUGAUUGUUCACAGUCAGUUACAGACCGAUCUCCUGAUCUACUCUUUCCCCCCUUGUCACUACUGCACUAGACUAGUCUUUU
ensembl:Y_RNA Y_RNA Y RNA